UCCCUUUUGACAGGAGAUUCUUCCCAGAAGGUGGAAGAGAAGAGUUUAAAGAAGGUGGAGGAGAAGUGGUUGAACGCUUAGGCACGGGAGAUGAAGGUAUGACCAAUGGUUGAGUCAUGGCAUGUGAAGGAGGGGACACAGGUUGGGUUACUAGUGGAGGGUUAGUGGUUACAGCAGGGGGGUUAGUAGAAGAGGAUAGUACAGCGAAAGGGUUGCUAAGACAAGCUGAGAGGGAUUACGGGAUGGAGACGUGCAGUCCAUAGGAGUGGGGGAAGGCGAACUUUCAGUUGGUGGUAAGGUUUCUGGGGCAUGUUCGAUUACAGGAGAUGGUUGAGUAGACCCAAUAGGAGCCUCAGUACAGACAGCAACAGGCCCAGCUUGAGGACCCUCUUCGGAAGUGAGAGCAGGAGGGUGGAAUCCAUGGAUACUCAACUGAAAUUGUGAUAACCUCUCCACUAUCACGGACUAUCUCCACUGAGGAAGGGAGAGGUCAAAGGGCAUUCCUUUUAGAUGAGCCCAAAUCGGCACUGCGUUUAGAUCAGUACUGACACCACCAGAAGCGUCCCAUUGCGCCCCCAAAAACAUACAUUCGCCAAUGUACCGCACCUUUUUCUCCAGAACUUUGCUCCUUCAUGAAAUACCGAGUCAGGGAUGACUAUACGAGGAAUACCAUCAGCCGAAUAAGAAGCAGGAGCAAGACGUGUGAGCUUCCUAUCCGCGUCUUUCCUUAGAUUUUGAGCUAGUGUAACAGAUGGAGUGGAAGCAGUUGUGCUAGUAAGAGGUUUAGGAUUGGGUACA